UUUUAUUCUUAUUUAAAAUUUUAAUAUACUUAGAAAUUUUAAUUUUUUUCUUCUUUUUGGUCACAGAAUUUGAUUUAAAACAAUGAAUAAUGACCAACUUCUUUAACAUUAAUGUGAUAUCUAGCGAAUUUUUUUAUUGAUAAUAUGAGAUACAGUAACUUCAUUCAUUUUAAGUUUCUUUUUAAUUUUGCUUGUGCAUACUAGAUUUCAUUAAAUAUAGACAGUGCUAUAAACGGUAUUUUGUGGCAAUGGAAAAACAACGAAAAAUGUCUUACUAAUACAAAUUAUUAAAUAACAUAUUGAAACAUUAAAUACAUCCUAUGUAAUCAUAGGACUGCAAGUUUUCAAAUAAUAGAUUCAUAAAGUGUAUCUAAAAUGAACAUUCUUUCCUCAAGACAGGAACAAUAUUCGUUUUUCCUGAACAUCUCUAAGAAUUUACUCAAUGACUGUAUAUUUUACGAUCGUAAAUAUACACAAUAGACAGAUUUCCAUCGAGGUAAAUUUUUCCAGCAGGAAGCCAUCGAUCAAAAAUAAGGACACCGACUAACGAGACAUCAUCGCGGGGAGAUGAAACUAAAUACAAUUAGUGAUAUGUCGCAUGUUUCCUAAGAACGCAGUUGUUCCCCGUGGUAUUUCUCAAUUUUUUGUCAUCUGAUUCACUAUUGCUGUCGGUACUUCAGCUGAUUGGCGAGUCUACGAAACGCGAGACGCUAAUUGCUCUUAGGAACAGUGGAGAAGUCUCGUAUGUGCAUCGAUGAACUGAAAAAAAGGCCUUGAUUCGUGCGUCAUGAGAAGAACAUUCUCAGAAUACAAAGCGUAGGAUACGUGGUUUCGCGAGAAGUUUGGAAAAUCGAGUCGAGUUCGCGUUCGAAAAAUGAAAGGCGAUCGGAAUGUUUGACGAUGGUAAGAAACCUUGAAGUGUCUUGACGUUAUUAAAUAAUUCUUAUCAUUUUUCGGUAAACUACUUGUGGAAAUCUCAUACUUGGUAUACCAUGUUAUUAUUCUAUUCCAUGCUGUAUCAUUAAUAUUUCCUUAUAAAGUUGUAAACAUUACAAGAGUCAACCUGAUAAUCGAUAAAUUACAAAUGGAAAAAUUCAUACGAUUACUAUAAUACUACCAUAAUCAUUGAGAUCUAAUAAUCAAUAGUAUACAACAAGCUUAUUUCUCUAAAUAGAACUAUUAAAUAAAUAAUAAAUAAGUUGUCCCCAAACAUUAGUCUCAUACGUUAUUGACAAAAAUAAACAAAAAUGAUUAACUAACACAGAUCAUUAGUUUCCAAAUUGCAAGACCUCUACACGUACACCGAUGUUCGAUAUCCGCAUAACAGGCUUCAAUCGUGUCCCCAGGCAAUAUUGUACACACCCAUCUUAUUUUUCUCAGUUUCUGUUUAUAUUGUCUGGUAAAUGAAACCACUAGUAACGCGCGAACGUAUGUAUUCCCAGCCAAUGUUUAUUCAACACUUUUUGUUCAUUACCACGUGUACAACAUCAAUUUCCGUUCUCGGCUCGAAUAAGACAAGUUUUCGGGUCGUUGCGAUUUAACCGCAGCUUAUUCGCUCAUCGACAACGAGCCUGUUCCCGCCUCGCAUGUGACGUUAUCCAUCCACUUUUUGUGGCGUCUACUUAUACACAGAGGUAACUGCCGUAACACCACGCUAUUGCCGAUACCAACAAUUGUUCGCAGACAAUUUUUUCUUCCAUCCUUCCGUCUAUUUUUCAUACAGAUUUCACGCCUGGGAACGCUUCUACACGUACGAUAACACAUACAAUAACCGGAUAAUUGCUCCCUAAUGCAAAUCGAUCGAUUAGAAACGAACCUUGAACGCGACGGAACUGCUAAUGCUACGUGGGGGCUCGAUUAUGGAAAUUACACUGGUAAUAAACUCGUUCAUUCGGAAUCCUACUUUUAAUUACAUUCCUCGAUUGCGUGAUCAAUCGGAGUCCCGUUUGACGAGGAUAUCGGUCUCUUCAUCUGUCCUAUUGUUCGCGAAAAUUUAAUCACGUUACUUUUGUGUUCCGUGGUUCCGAGUAGGCUUGGAGUCGUCAUGUUGGGAAAUGUAGAAGCAGGAAGUGCGUCACGUCGAAUAAUGUAACUUUGAAAACCAUGUAAUGAUAUUUGGUUCAAGGUAAUUAUUCCGUGGAUUUAUUUAAUGAAGGAUUUUAACAAAAAAUCAUUUGAUUUCGAUUUAAAUUGAUCAUUUCAGUUUUAUGAAAACUGCUACCGAAAUUUUAUAAUUUUAACACAGACUCUUAUGGAAUAUACAGAUUUUCAGGUGAAUUUUUUAAUUUAAAUCAAAAUGCAAUUUAGGAACUUGCUGGAAAUUUCAUAUGUUAAAAAACCCGACGUUAGAAACUAUUAAAAAAAAACUACUAAUUAUUGAUCGCGUUGUUAAUAAGAUAUAAUUUCUUAAAAUCUGAAACGGAACGUAGAGAAGUUGUUUAGUAACAGACAGUUGCCACAAUCAUUUCUCGAGUAAUACGAAUACGGUGUGUUACCCCCUUUUCUUUUGUACGUGAGGAAUUGCGUUUACGCACACCCUCUCAGAUGGAGGGGGUAGUGUGGGACUCGCCCCUUGAUUUGAUAUCAAGGGGAAUACCCCCUAAAACCUCACGGUGGUCGUGCACCGCGCUCUAGGAGGGGCACCGGGAUCUCACAGAACACUACCGGUGCUCUCCAGCGCCAGCUUCGCUAUUUCAUAGCGGAGCGCCCUCUCUUGUGGGGAGGAGACCUCCCCACCUGACCGCGGGCGCCACAGCCAGCGAUCUCGCCUGUCCCUUUUAGUCGCCUCUUACGACAAGCAGGGAUUACUGUGGGCGUAUUCAGUUCCCCGCCCUACAAGGAAGACGUUUGUGAAAAUUACUCGAGUUACUCGAGUUACUCGAGCCAAAGAGACUGAACUCACUAUACAGUAACGUGUCACAUAAACUGGAAGUCUAUGUCUUACAACUCCUUUUUUUGAUUUGCACUUUUCAUAAACUGUUUAAAUUAAACAGACGUAGUAUGUACGUAUAGAAAAAUCACUUAUAAAACACGUCUUAUAACAGGUUUUUCAAAAGAUGCUUUGAUAUUUUAAUUUUUUCGUAAAUCAAAAAUUAUACCUAAUUUAAUGAUAUUGAAUUACUUUAAUUUUAAAUGAAAGUACACACAAUUAGAAUUAAACGCGAACGAAGAUUUCGUAUAUAUGUUACUAAAAUAUUAUAAGUGGAAAAGAAAAUCCUGAAAUUCCUUUUCGGAAACUCUUUACAAUAUAAACUUAUAUAUAUUAGUAUACAUUGUUUCAUUUAAAGAACCAUUACCGAAUUACUUACUACAUAUCAUUUUUUUAAAAUCUUUAUAUCUCUUUUCUCGCUAAAUCUAUUGAAAUCGUUAAAUGAAAUAAACUAAAUCCUGUUUCAGACAGGGCUCUUCAGUAGUUUAUCAUGAUAUGAAAGGGCUAACGACGAGCACAAUCCACUUUCAAACUAUAACUCGCGAUAAUGGGCAAGAUGGCACCUACAUUGUGUCGCAACAGUGUUUCCUUGAGGAACAAUAUGCUCCAAAGAUAGGUGGACGCCGAGGCUUGAACCGUUUAAAUCAAACUUUCGCUUCAUGGAUAAUCAUUGGGCGUCUUUCACUCGGCUACGGGAAAGGUGGAAAAGUCGCGUAACGUGGAAAAUCCCUGGACGUCAUAGUGUGUUGACAUGCGCCGCAACUGGGUGAAAAUGGAACGCCAAUGACGGCAGUUGCAUUCAUGUGAUUUUCACUUACAACGAUAAAAAGACUCGUUGCCUGAUUACGUCUAUCGCGACCGUUACGACGCAGGCAAUCUUUAUGAUUAUUUUCCAGGAAAAGUGAUCGACAUACACUUCUGAAAUUUGGUAGGUUUAUUUGUACGUGUAUAUGUAAUAGUGUGUUAAAUUUACAAUUGUUGUGCUGAAUUUAUUUCGAUAUUAUAAAUAAUAUUUACGUUAGGUGAAAUGGACCUAGAAUGUUAACUCAACUGAGUCCAUUCUAAUAGAAUGUGAUUACGGCGAGCGUUGAGGAUAGAAAUAUUAUUUAAAAAUUGAGAAAAUGGUGACACUUUAAAUUUAUGCCUCCGAUUUCUUUACGUUAUUUACAUUCUUUGUAGCUGGAAGAAAGUAGUCAUUUUUAAAGUAUAAAAAAUAUCUUGGUUCUAGACAUAGCUUGAAGUGAAAUGCGUUUUUUGAGAUAUGGCAUUAAUAUAUUUGAAAGUAUGAAGAUUUAUUUGUGAAGAUUAUGAAGAUAUUCGUGUUCCAUCAGUAUAACAGAACGGUUCCUUAUUGAAAGUAUUAUCUGUUUUCACAGUCUCUCUGCAGAAUUACCUACUGCAUGGUUGGUCAUCUACUUCCUGAUCAAAAUGAUCUUCUUAUCCCUCCAUGAGCUGUGAAGAGACUAUACCUGGAACUUCAGUUGAAAAAUUCGAAGAUAAUCCCACCAGUUGCUUGGUAUCUUCUACUUCAAUGGCAUCUACAGCAAUCUUUCUUAUUAGAAUAAAUAAAUAAUCUUCCAGUAGUUAUAUCUCUAAUGUUUAGAUAGUUGAGCAACUUAGAAUGAAAAUACCACAAUUUAUACUCCUUUACUCAACAAUGAACGAACAUUUCUUAAUCACAGAUUCUGCUAUCUUUCGUUUACACGUUCAUGAGAUGGGCAAAUACAAGUUUUUAAAUUCUGCACACGUUUAAAGUAAAAAAAAAACGUUUUCUCUAUCUUUAAUACUUCAAUUUUUCUGUAAACUUAUUUAGGAAAGAUUAGGAUUCCUAAACCUGACCAGUAGAGGUUAGGUUUCUAUAAUAUCACUUGAGCUACAACUCGUCUCUUUGUACUUUUGUUUCCUUUCCUCAUUACUAUGCCUUUACUAAUUUUUUCUACCAUAUCGUAUUUAUUUUGUUAACAGAGAGUACAAUGAAGUUAUAAAAAGGAGCGAUUAUUUAUUAUAACCUCACUUCUAUUGUUCAAUCAUGGUAUUACGCAUAAUACCAGUUGUUAUUACUUUAAAUACGCACAUCAAUCGCACAUAUAAGACAAAAAGUUUUCAAAUCAGCGUAAUAAUUUAUGUAAUAUCAUUUAAUUUAUUCUCAAUAAAAUAUUAAAUGUAUCAUAACCUCACUUCUAUCGUGCAACCAAGUUCUACUACCAAUUUGUUAAUACUUGAAAUAGGAAAAUAAAUCAAACUAUAAGAUAAAACGUUUCUCAAACAAUGUAAUUAUUUGUGUAAUAUCAUUUAAUUUAUUUUCUAUUAAAUGUUAAGUACGUCAUAACAUGGUUAAUAUCGAAUUUCUCAUCUCUCUAAUGCUGUACACUAUUCACACGCACUCUGCACUCUUUAACGCCUCGAUUUACAA